AUUGAACGCUGGCGGAAUGCUUUACACAUGCAAGUCGAACGGCAGCACGGACUUCGGUCUGGUGGCGAGUGGCGAACAGGUGAGUAAUGUAUCGGAACGUGCCCAGUCGUGGGGGAUAACGUAGUGAAAAUUACGCUAAUACCGCAUACGAUCUAUGGAUGAAAGCGGGGGAUCGCAAGACCUCGCGCGAUUGGAGCGGCCGAUAUCAGAUUAGGUAGUUGGGGGGGUAAAGGCCCACCAAGCCAACGAUCUGUAGCUGGUCUGAGAGGACGACCAGCCACCAUGGAACUGAGACACGGUCCAGACUCCUACGGGAGGCAGCAGUGGGGAAUUUUGGACAAUGGGCGAAAGCCUGAUCCAGCCAUUCCGCGUGCAGGAUGAAGGCCCUCGGGUUGUAAACUGCUUUUGUACAGAACGAAAAGGUUUCUACUAAUACUAGGAGCUCAUGACGGUACUGUAAGAAUAAGCACCGGCUAACUACGUGCCAGCCGCCGCCGUAA
rnacentral:rRNA from 1 species